AGACUACUCCCUCCGUCCGGAAAUACUUGUCAUCAAAAUGAAUAAAAGAGGAUGUAUCUAGAUGUAUUUUAGUUUUAGAUACAUUCCUUUUUGUCCAUUUUGAUGACAAAUAUUUUCGGACGGAGGGAGUACUUA
rnacentral:pre_miRNA from 1 species